rnacentral:lncRNA from 1 species
AAGGCGGAGGGGCUAAAAACGCAAUUUACCCCUCUGCAUAAAAACACACGAAUCCUAGGCCGGGUCAGGUCGGUUUUGGGCCGGUCUAUGCUUAAACGACGUCGUUUUUAACAUUUUGGACCGCUCCCAAAACGGUACCGUUUAGUACCGCUAUUUAAAUCAAUUUUUUUCCAAAAAAAAAUCAUUUGCAGCAAAAAAAAUAAAAAAAAACUUGAUAUUCCUCUGCUAGGGUUUUGGCCCUAGUUUCUAUGCCGCCG